UACCGUAAGGUAUGCUGGAGGUAUCAGAAGUGAGAAUGCUGACAUGAGUAGCGAAAAGAAGAGUGAGAGACUCUUCCGCUGAAAGUCCAAGGUUUCCUGCGUAAAGCUAAUCUGCGCAGGGUUAGUCGGUCCCUAAGGCGAGGCAGAGAUGCGUAGUCGAUGGCAAUCAGGUUAAUAUUCCUGAACCGGCCCGGAAGUGACGGAUUGAGUAAAUUGUAAGUUCUUAUUGGAUUGAGCUUGCAGUGAAUCAGUCCCAGGAAAUAGCCCGGGUUAAGACCGUACCCGAAACCGACACAGGUGGACAGGUAGAGAAUACCAAAGCGCUUGAGAGAACUAUGUUGAAGGAACUAGGCAAAAUACUUGCGUAACUUCGGGAUAAGCAAGCCCCAUUUUAAGGCAACUUAGGGUGGGGGGCACAUACUAGGGGGUAGCGACUGUUUACUAAAAACACAGGGCUCUGCUAAAUUGAAAGAUGAAGUAUAGGGUCUGACGCCUGCCCGGUGCUGGAAGGUUAAGGAGAGAUGUGCAAGCAUUGAACUGAAGCCCCAGUAAACGGCGGCCGUAACUAUAACGGUCCUAAGGUAGCGAAAUUCCUUGUCGGGUAAGUUCCGACCUGCACGAAUGGCGUAACGACUUCCCCGCUGUCUCCAACAUAGGCUCAGCGAAAUUGAACUCUGAGUUAAGAUGCUCAGUACCCGCGGUUAGACGGAAAGACCCCGUGAACCUUUACUAUAGCUUUGCAGUGGUAUUAGGUAACAAAUGUGUAGAAUAGGUGGGAUGCUAUGAAGCUACGACGCCAGUUGUAGUGGAGCAGACUUUGAAAUACCACCCUUUUGUUGUUUGAUAUCUAACCUGCUCCCGUUAUCCGGGAGAGGGACCCUGCAUGGUGGGUAGUUUGACUGGGGCGGUCGCCUCCCAAAGAGUAACGGAGGCGCGCAAAGGUUGGCUCAGAUUGGUCAGAAAUCAAUCGUCGAGUGCAAUGGCAUAAGCCAGCCUGACUGCGAGAGAGACAUUUCGAGCAGAU
rnacentral:rRNA from 1 species